UCCUACGGGAGGCAGCAGUGGGGAAUAUUGCACAAUGGAGGAAACUCUGAUGCAGCGACGCCGCGUGAAUGAUGAAGGCCUUCGGGUCGUAAAAUUCUGUCCUUGGGGACGAUAAUGACGGUACCUUAGGAGGAAGCCCCGGCUAACUACGUGCCAGCAGCCGCGGUAAU
rnacentral:rRNA from 1 species